rnacentral:rRNA from 1 species
GGGGUGGCUUCCAUCUGGAAGAAUCUGGAGACAGGUGCUGCAUGGCUGUCGUCAGCUCGUGUCGUGAGAUGUUGGGUUAAGUCCCGCAACGAGCGCAACCCUUGCCUUUAGUUGCCAGCAGUUCGGCUGGACACUCUAAAGGGACUGCCGGUGUUAAACCGGAGGAAGGUGGGGAUGACGUCAAGUCCUCAUGGCCUUUAUGACCAGGGCUACACACGUACUACAAUGGCCGAUACAAAGGGCAGCGACACUGCGAGGUGAAGCCAAUCCCGUAAAAUCGGUCUCAGUCCGGAUUGGAGUCUGCAACUCGACUCCAUGAAGUUGGAAUCGCUAGUAAUCGUGGAUCAGCAUGCCACGGUGAAUACGUUCCCGGGCCUU